rnacentral:rRNA from 1 species
AGUGAACGCUGGCGGUAGGCCUAACACAUGCGAGUCGAACGGCAGCACAGUAAGAGCUUGCUCUUACGGGUGGCGAGUGGCGGACGGGUGAGGAAUACAUCGGAAUCUACUUUUUCGUGGGGGAUAACGUAGGGAAACUUACCCUAAUACCGCAUACGACCUACGGCUGAAAGCAGGGGAUCUUCGGACCUUGCGCGAUUGAAUGAGCCGAUGUCGGAUUAGCUAGUUGGCGGGUUAAAGGCCCACCAAGGCUACGAUCCGUAGCUGAUCUGCGAGGAUGAUAAGACACACUGGAAUUGAGACAGGAUCCAGACGCCUACGGGAGGCAGCAGUGGGGAAUAUUAGAAAAGGGGCGCACACCUGAUCCAGCCAUACCGCGUGGGUGAAGAAGGCCUUCGGGUUGUAAAGCCCUUUUGUUGGGAAAGAAAAGCAGCAGGGUAAUACCCCGCUGUUCUGACGGUACCCAAAGAAUAAGCACCGGCUAACUUCGUG